AGGCUUGUGUCUGGACAUCGGC
rnacentral:miRNA from 1 species